GUCGAACGAGACCUUCGGGUCUAGUGGCGCACGGGUGCGUAACGCGUAGGCAAUCUACCCGAUACAGGGGAAUAACACGGGGAAACUCGUGCUAAUACUGCGUAAUAAAUGAGAAGGCAUCUUCUUAUUUUAAAAGCUUCGGCGGUAUCGGAAGAGCCUGCGUCCUAUUAGCUAGUUGGUAAGGUAACAGCUUACCAAGGCGACGAUAGGUAGGGGAACUGAGAGGUUGAUCCCCCACACUGGUACUGAGAUACGGACCAGACUCCUACGGGAGGCAGCAGUGAGGAAUAUUGGUCAAUGGACGGAAGUCUGAACCAGCCAUGCCGCGUGUCGGAAGACGGCCCUCUGGGUUGUAAACGGCUUUUCUUUGGGAAGAACACGCUCUUGCGAGAGCAACUGACGGUACCAAAGGAAUAAGCACCGGCUAACUACGUGCCAGCAGCCGCGGUAAUACGUAGGGUGCAAGCGUUGUCCGGAUUUAUUGGGUUUAAAGGGUGCGUAGGCGGCUAUUUAAGUCGUGGGUGAAAGCCCGUCGCUUAACGACGGAAUUGCCUGCGAUACUGGAUAGCUUGAGUAUCGUUAAGGUUGGCGGAAUGGGAGGUGUAGCGGUGAAAUGCAUAGAUACCUUCCAGAACACCGAUUGCGUAGGCAGCUGACUAGGCGAUAACUGACGCUGAGGCACGAAAGCGUGGGGAGCGAACAGGAUUAGAUACCCUGGUAGUCCACGCCGUAAACGAUGAUGACUCGUUGUUGG
rnacentral:rRNA from 1 species